AUUGAACGCUGGCGGCAGGCCUAACACAUCCAAGUCGCACGAGUGGCGGACGGGUCAGUAAUGUCUGGGAAACUGCCCGAUGGAGGGGGAUAACUCCUGGAAACGGUAGCUAAUACCGCAUACCAUCGGAUGUGCCCCGAUGGGAUUAGCUGGUAGGUGGGGUAACGGCUCACCUAGGCGACGAUCCCUAGCUGGUCUGAGCGGAUGCCCAACCUCACUGAAACUGAGACACGGUCCAGACUCCGACAAGACACACCGUUGUCUGAUGUUGCACAGUGGGCGCAAGCCUGAUACAGCCAUGCCGCGUGUAUGAAGGAGACCGUCGGGUUUUAAAGUACUUUCAGCGAGGAGGCGUUACUCGCAGAAGAAGCACCGGCUAACUCCGUGCCAGCAGCCGCGGUAAUAC
rnacentral:rRNA from 1 species